GUUGUGCUUGCAUGCAUGUGCACAGCAGCUGAUUUUUACAAGUUGGAUGUGAGAAGAUCUAUAAGAGGGACUGAAUUCCAUGAGUGACUACCGUGCAGUAACAAUACUGAUGAGAUGCAGCAGUACUGAACUAUCAGAUUCUUCAGUCUGCUUGCCUACUUUCACAUAAUUGGUGGCAACUUCCAAUUCUUGGAAGCUUUCAUGCUUCUGUUCUUUUUUUCCCUUCCCCGAAUUGUGUCUAGUAUUUGGAUAUGCCCCUUCCCUCACACAUGGAAAAAAUCUCUAAGAAAAAUAUGGACUAAGGACAGAGUUACUGAAAUGGUGGCCCAUGUUCCUAUAUUGUCCUCUGUAAUACAGAAACCUGGUGUUCCCACUAUGCUUUACCUUUAUAGAUUUUAAAACUAAUGUACCUUCUUUUCCAGCUUUCUUCAACCAGUGAUUCAUUGAAACGACAAACUCAGGCUUGUUACUCUGCUGGGAAGUUGCCUGUUUUAAUAAAACAUAGCAAAGUGCUCUUUAGCUCUGAUUACUGUGCUCAUACUCCCCACGCUGAUGUUCUUUCUGGCCUGAUGUGACCAGUAACGCUAAAAGGGUCUCAUUUUGUGGCUGGCUAGACCAUAGUUUUGAAGAUGGCCAGGAUAUUCUGGUGCAAUUUGGGAGACCCACAUUUUAACGGCAAAUCCUGACUUCAGUGUAGGCCUUAGAGGCCAUUUCACUAUACCACAGCCCAUCAGCUGAGAGAUUGAAGUACUGGCAGUGAUUGCGUCCUGGUCAAAAAAACAACUUUCUGCCCUUCAUUCAUGUGGAAAACACAAUCCAAGUGAACAGAAGAUGGCUUCAAAGAACCCUGAUCAGAAGGCAAAACAGAAUAAAGAGAUGUCUCUUCUGAACCACAAAGGUUCUUACGCCAUGCCCAUCAACACAAGAACAAGAGCCCAGUGGUCCAUCUGGUUGGGUAUCCGGUCUCUGACAGUGCCAAGUACAAGCUGCUUUGGCAGAAGAAACCUUAGGGAACUAAGCACCAAAAAAGGAUUCGUAUGCAUGUCUCUAGGAGCAGGAUUGCGGGAGACAAUUCUUAACUCUCUCUGAGCCCGUUUGCAGCUAAGGAUCCCAAGUGGAAGAAGGAAUCUUAUCUGUGGCUCAUCAGCCAGACACAGCAGUAGUACCCAGAUGCCCCAACUCAGAUCACAGCCCCACUGCACAAAAAGAUCAGGAAGGCUGCAACAUGCUCCAUGUAUAUUCCAAGCUGCAAACUGGACUGAUAGAGUAUUAUUUGAGAAAUGGUAUGUGACAUCAUAAUACUGAAUUAUAAUAUAUAUGCCAAAGAGGAUGGAGUUAAAGUUAUACAUCCACCCUUAAUUUUGUAAUUUCCUGAUUUAAGUGGUUUGCUUGAAAUCUAUUAUCUAGCUAUUGUUAGGGAAAAUAUAUAUCCAAGGGAAAGUAUUGUUAUCGAAGUCUUAAACUAUGUAAAGAUCCAUUUCUUAUUCCAAAAAGUGGAAAAAACAGAAAAGGGGUGAUGUAGAUUUUCUCUGAACAUCCCUGAAAAAUAGAAUAAAAAAUGUGGAGUUAGGGAGAAAACUGAGGUAGUUACUGCAGUGUGGAGGGAGCGGAUACUAUAGCAAGACUUGGCUACUUUUUAAAAGUAAACAUCAGGAAGGGAAUUCUCCAAGGUUAAAAAAAUAAUUUUAUUUACAUACAGUAGCUUCAGCAAACACACAGGAAGCGAGUCAGUGCAGCUUGUAGCGCUACACAAAUAAGGAACAGACAAGAGGAGACUUAUUAAAGGCUGACGAGCAUGUAAAACAGGAGGUAAUGAAUUUACAAAAGCAAUAAUUUUGACAAUGGAGCAGUCAACCAAGCGUGGGUCACUUGGCCCUAUCACUGAAAACAGAGAUUAGAUAUGAAGAGAAUAAUCCAAGCUAGGAGAAGGGGAUUGAAUUUGCCGAGGGCACUUCAGCUGUAGAUUCCUUUUAACGAGUUUGACUGUUUAAGUAGAAUAAUUUCAGAUUUUCCCAGGAGAUGGAAAAUGGCAGCCCUUGAGCAUUCUAACAAAAAGUCAAAAGGGUAAAGUUUUGUUUUAAUAGAUUAGCAUGGAUGAACUCCACUAUUUUUCAAUCACACAGAUGGUCUAGAAAAAUAUUGAGAAAACCAGUCUAAAUGCUGUUCUCAUCACUUUCUAGAUCAAGCCAGUUUCCAACCAAAAGUUACAUAGCGUAUUAAGUCCAUCCACAAGUUUUCUCCAUACGGAAACUGCCUUUCACCCCUCACCAGCCAAACCGUGGUUGUCCUGCCGUUCAGUACUAUAAUCCCUGAAAAUGUACUUCAGUAGGACUAGUCCUGUGAACAAGUUACGCACAUGCAUGUUUGCAAGAUGGGGUCCUUCCAUCCAAUUUUAUCCCUUUUUUUUUUUUUUAUCAUAAUGAAGUGUACUGGAAAAUAAGGCAAAAGCUGUCACCUGGUAGGAGAACUAACUUUAAUCCUGGCAGCAAGAAUUAAAGUAGCAGGACUUAGACAAUGAAGAACCCCCACCCCUUGUUAGAUAAAGAUAAAAAAAAUUCCUAGUGUCUUCAAAAGCUAAAAGGUAACUUUUCUGAUGUAUUGCAAUUUAGCUAGAAGUUUAAAAAAAAAAAAAGCUUAAGAUCUAGAGAAAUAAAUAUAGAUGCAAAAUCCCCCUUUUAACAAUUCAAAAAUUCAAUUUACCUAUGCAAGAUAUGAAGAAUUCUUCAUAUAAUUCCAAUUAUUGUUUUAUUGCUUUUCUGCAGUUUCCAAAAUUGGCAUUUUUUCCUGUAAUAAUACAUUUCUGCCAAAUAGACCGUGUUUUCCAAAUAGUAUUUUAGAAGAUUCUCCAAUUUAUUAUUAAAGGAUAUCAAAAUGUGCGUAUAGACCGUGAAUAGUCAAAGUAUUUAAGGUGAAUUUAACAGGAGAAAGUUUAGAAAUUAAAGCUCUUUCAUCCAGCCAAAUGGCCUUAAACCCCUAGAGACAAAAGUUUGGUUUUUUGUUUUUUGUUUUUUUAGAUAUAGCUCUUUAGUAUGGAAAUACUUAUCUUUAUCAUUAAACUCUGAUGUGGGUUCCACUUGAAGUUUCAUUAGGUAAUAUAGCUAAUUAUAAAGACUUCAUCUUUUGUUUUAAAAAAUUUCUAUUCAGGAGAUAGGAAUAGGGUGUUUCCUUGGAUAAAUAUAGCUCCCAGGUGAGGCUACUUCAAUCCUAUAUUUGUUUGUAACACAAAGAACAGGUAUUGCUUAGGUAAUUAUGCAGCACCCAACACUUUUGUUGUCACUCGCCAGCAUGGAUCAUUGCCCAUCUCCUCACUGUAACAGCUACCCUUGCAGCAUCUAUUGCUAUACCAGAGCUGAAAUCUGUAACAUGGGUACAAUCUAAUUGUGGCCCUAACAGUGGGCUCAAACCACAGAAGGCUCCAGCAGCAGUAAGUUGUGUUAUACUAGAGCCAGGUUUAAACACUUAUUUUUGUUGUGUAAAUGAGACUUUGGAGA